rnacentral:rRNA from 1 species
ACGGGGUGCAGCAGGCGCGAAAACUUUGCAAUACACGAAAGUGUGACAGGGCUAUCCCGAGUGCCAUCCGCUGAGGAAGGCUUUUACCCAGUUUAGAACGCUGGGGGAAUAAGGAGAGGGCAAGUCUGGUGUCAGCCGCCGCGGUAAUACCAGCUCUCCGAGUGGUGUGGAUGUUUAUUGGGCCUAAAGCAUCCGUAGCUGGCCAAGUUAGUCCCCUGUUAAAUCCACCGAAUUAAUCGUUGGAGUGCGGGGGAUACUGCUCGGCUAGGGGACGAGAGAGGCCGACGGUAUUUCCGGGGUAGGGGUGAAAUCCUAUAAUCCCGGGAGGACCACCAGUGGCGAAGGCUGUCGACUAGAACGCGCUCGACGGUGAGGGACGAAAGCUGGGAGAGCGAACCGGAUUAGAUACCCGGGUAGUCCCAGCUGUAAACGAUGCGGGCUAGGUGUUGGAAUGGCUACGUGCCAUUUCAGUGCCGCAGGGAAGCCAUUAAGCCCGCCGCCUGGGGAGUACGGCCGCAAGGCUGAAACUUAAAGGAAUUGGCGGGGGAGCACAGGAAUUGGCGGGGGAGCAC